GGCCCAAGCAACUGUUUACCAAAAACACAGGUUUGUGCUAAAUCGAAAGAUGACGUAUACGAGCUGACGCCUGCCCGGUGCUGGAAGGUUAAGAGGAGAUGUGCAAGCAUUGAAUCGAAGCCCCAGUGAACGGCGGCCGUAACUAUAACGGUCCUAAGGUAGCGAAAUUCCUUGUCAGGUAAGUUCUGACCCGCAUGAAAGGCGUAAUGAUUUGGGCACUGUCUCAACAGCCCGCCCGGCGAAAUUGUAGUACCGGUGAAGAUGCCGGUUACCCGCGACAAGACGGAAAGACCCCAUGGAGCUUUACUGUAGCCUAAUAUUGGGUUUCGAUGUUGCAUGCACAGGAUAGAUGGGACACAGGGAAACAAUCGCUUUGGCGGUUGCGGAGUGGCCGUUGGGAUACCAUCCUUGCGAUAUUGGAAUUCUAACCUGCGGCUCUGAAUCGAGUCGGGGGACAUUGUUAGGUGGGCAGUUUGACUGGGGCGGUCGCCUCCUAAAAAGUAACGGAGGCGUUCAAAGGUUCGCUCAGCUUGAACGGAAAUCAAGCAAAAGAGUGCAAACGCAGAAGCGAGCCUAACUGCGAGACUGACGGGUCGAGCAGUAACGAAAGUUGGAGUUAGUGAUCCGGUGGUAUGUGAGUGGAAAUGCCAUCGCUCAACGGAUAAAAGUUACCCUGGGGAUAACAGGCUGAUCUCCCCCAAGAGUCCACAUCGACGGGGAGGUUUGGCACCUCGAUGUCGGCUCAUCGCAUCCUGGGGCUGUAUUCGGUCCCAAGGGUUUGGCUGUUCGCCAAUUAAAGCGGUACGCGAGCUGGGUUCAGAACGUCGUGAGACAGUUCGGUCCCUAUCUGUCGUGGGCGCAGGAUAUUUGAUGGGAGCUGUCCCUAGUACGAGAGGACCGGGACGGACGUACCUCUGGCGCACCAGUUGUUCCGCCAGGAGCAUAGCUGGGCAACUACGUACGGAUCGGAUAAACGCUGAAAGCAUCUAAGCGUGAAGCCGACCCAAAGAUAAGAUAUCCCACUGAUUUGAUCAGGUAAGACCCCUUGAAGACUACAAGGUCGAUAGGCACGAUGUGUAAGUGGAGCGAUCCAUUCAGCAAGCGUGUACUAAUAGGUCGAGGGCUUGACCAC
rnacentral:rRNA from 1 species